UACGUAGGGGGCAAGCGUUGUCCGGAUUUAUUGGGCGUAAAGAGCGUGUAGGCGGCCAGGUAGGUCUGCUGUGAAAACUCGAGGCUUAACCUCGAGCUGUCGGCGGAAACCAUCUGGCUAGAGUCCGGAAGAGGAGAAUGGAAUUCCCGGUGUAGCGGUGAAAUGCGUAGAUAUCUGGAGGAAUACCGGUGGCGAAGGCGGCAUCCUGGACCGAGAUUGACACUAAAGCGCGAAAGCCAGGGGAGCAAACGGG
rnacentral:rRNA from 1 species